UAUGUUACAAGAGUUAAUAAGAAGCCUGAGCUAAUAGGCCAAUCCAUUUAUAACUAAUGUAGACCUCUGUGUGAUUCUUUGGGACUUAAGGACUGCAGGACCGGGUGGGACAGAAAACCUCGGUCAACGACCUGUCACAGAUCUUCAGGGCUCCCAGACCUCCCCUCCCUCUCAAGAGGCCACAGGGACACCAUGAAAUGCCCUCUGCACUGUCACCUCAUGUCCUCCCUCUUCCAACUCAAACACCAAACAGGAGGCUUGUGACCAGUGUGAGGUAGGGGGGUGGGGCAGAGGAAUGCCUGAACCACACAGCCGGCUUCACAAGACACUGCUCACCUUCCACCUCAUGCCAAGCCCUUCCUUCAAGGUCUGUUCGAUUUAGCACGGAGGAACCCUAAGGGUCUGUGGAAGCAACUCACUGAGAAUUGAGUCUGACAGACCUUGGUUGUGGGAUGAGAAGGUACAAACAUAGGCUUCAGAUGAAAUCAGUCUGGGGCAGACACUUGCUGUGUGGUCUUAGGCAAACCUCUCAGCCACUCCGGGCUUCUGAUUCCUCACCUAUAAAGUAGGGGUAACAACUGCAAAGAUGUUGGGGAGCUAUACAGCUAGAAGACCCACUGAGUUAUCUAGGCACAGACAGUCCUGAUAGGCCCGACUCCUUGGCCCACAGCACUCCUGCUGGCUCUGAACUCUCAGGAUGCUUCUGAGGCAGACGCUCAUCCCUAGGAGUAAGCACUUUGCAAACACAACCUGCCUAAUCCUGAGAAAGCCUCUCUGAGUUCAGAGGUGGCACUGACUCCCUUGACCAGAACUGCAGACCUGCAGGUCAAGGAAGAAGAAGAAAGGCUGGAGAGGUGGCUGGGCCAGGCCUCCUGGAGGUAAAGAGAUGGCUAAGCUCCAUACUCCUAAGUGGCAAUGGUGCCUGGCACAGAACCACACACCCCAGCGCCCAGGAGGCUGUGCCCUGAUUCCUACUCCCAUACUCCUGCUCCUCCACAACUCAGCAGCCCUCACUGAGAGAAGAUGCUAAGGUCUGAGCACCUGCCGCAUGCCAGGCCUGAUGGCAGCACACACGACUGAAUCCCCACGCUUUCUCAGUGAAGAGCUUCUGGGACUCUCAGACCAGACACGUUGCUGAACCAAGUAGCUCAGAAAGCACCACAGCUUUUAGGAUGGCAAUAGCAAGGACUUGGAACCCAAGGUCCUAUGUAACUGUAUAGAUCAAGAAGAUAGCCCUGCUCAGGGAGGCAAAGUGACCUUCAAGGCUGAAUUGGGAUUCAAGCCAGACCUGGGUUCCAAACUCACUCGGGCCACUUCAAAUGCUACUCUGUGUCAGGCUUUCUUAGGUUUAUCCAGCAAGCCCUGGGCUCCUAUGGUCCCCAGCACUUUUAUCAGGCCCCCACACUUGGGGCCUGCAAGGGUUCCUUGUGUCCAGGAGCACAGGUCCCGUCUCCUCCAAGACAAACCCUGGGACCAGCUCAAUUUCCUGCUCCCUGCUGCUUGGCAGAGGGAAGGCCAAGGGCAGAUUGGCCAGAGGCACCUCUGUGGCUGUUUCUCUGCUGGUGCCGCAAGGGGGACGCCAAAGUUGUGAUAUAUGGUGAAAUCCGUGGGCACCCCUACGAGGAGCUGUAAUUCAUAAGUUAUGGGUGAGUUUCAAGACUAAUAAAUUUGGGAGAGAAGUAUUAAUGACUAUACAGGGGCACUGUGAACUUGGCAGGCCCCAAAGCCUGGAACUUUGUAGCCCUGGUUUUAAAAAUGAUUUGUGCUAAAGCAAGUCUAAACAGAAGCCGGUCGGCACAGUCUGACUGUGACCUGCUGGCAACUUGGGGAAGCUUUUCCCUCUCAAGAGGAAUGAGGCUGGGCUGGGGCUGGCUCUGGAGCCCUGGCCCUCCACAGCAGCCCUCCCCCACUUACGGAGUGACAGCCACGCCGAGGUGAUGCUGGCCAGGUCCCAAGGCUCCUGUGACUCACUGCUGUGUCUGCAGGUUAACGCCUGGAUUGUCUGUGUCCUCCUGUGCAUGCAGAGGGCCUCUGAGCCCUGCUAGCCUGGGAGUCACGGCUACUAACAAAUGUUGCCCUUUCUUAAUCUUCAGAGUGGCCCAGGAUGCUCUUCGCUCAUCUGACUGUAAUUUCUAAUGUCAUGGAAAUCCCACCCUGGACAUGGCUCUUGGUCAGAGAGAAAUCAGCUGGGGGAUGCCCUGAGUCUUUGGACUACUGCAGGCCAUGAAUCACGGAGGCUUCACAGCCCCUGCAUCCUGCCCUCUGCUUCUGAGGCACUGACUGUGCCACCGAGGGCUCUGGGGACAGCUGUGAAAAUGCAGAUGGAGGACUGGAUUGUGUGUGGGUGGCCGUGACACACUUGUGCAUUAAAAGAGAGGGAGGUACCCAGGGAUGUCACAGGGCUAACAGGGUGCAGGAGUGGCAUGGAAGGCAUUUCAUAUAGCGUCCAUUACCACUGUGUCCCUCCCCAAUGUGUUAGAGUGAAGAGUCAGUUCCUGGUACCAGGAUGCCAGCUUAUCUGGAAACAACAUGACUGCAAUAAAAUUAGUCAAAAUGAGGCGAUAUUAGAGUAGGGUACACCUAGAGAAAUAGGGACACAGACAUAAAGGGAGACACCUGUAAGGAUGAAGGCAGAGACUGAGUGUCGUCCAGGAUUGCCAACAACCACCAGGAGCUACAGAAGUAGAAGGAACAGACAGGCUCCCAGCAUGGCACUCAGAGGGACCAGCCCUAUCGACGACCUGACCUCAGAUUUCUGGCUUCCCAAACUGUGAGGCUGUUUGUGUUGUUCAGCUUUCUCAGCUUGUGGCAUUUUGACAGAGACAUCUAACAAACAACCGCACUACUCUAAGGGACUUGGGCAUUUGACAGAAUGAACACAGGGAACCAGUUAAGUAUUCUGCAAGGGGGUGACAUGGUUUUAGAAGCUUGCUGUAUACUGGUGGGGCAGAUUCACUACUGAUUCCUCACACCCCCUGUAAGGCAAUGGAGCUGGAGGCAAGGCCACCAAAGCCUCAAGCUGUGUAACUAGGGAGUACAGCCUCCCUAGUUCUUUCUAGUCCUGCCCUUGACGCGAAGGGUGAAGUCAUUCCUGGGUUAAGCUGGCUUUGGCAAUCUAAAGUCCAAGGUCUAGGCCCAACAUCACCUCUCCCUGGCUGUGUGGCUGUUUUCUUUACAACCCUACAGCAGCUAAAAAUCAGGGUCCCAGCGCUCUGGAGGCAGAGGAUAAUCAUCACCUAGGAGACACACAUCUGGGCAAUGGAGGUUCUGAACUUAAGAAAGAACAGUGAGAGACUAUCCAGGUUAGGUAAGUUGAGGUUGGGAGACCAUCCUCGAUCCCACGAGUUGGGGCACCAGACUGAAUAGAAAUGGAGAAAGCAAGCUAGUACCAAUUUUCAUCUGAUUCCUGACUGGAGCUACAAGGUGCCGCCAACUCCACCCAGCCCUGCAGCCUUCCAGGAAAGUAACAACUAUUGAUUCACAGUGGGCACUUGAAUGGAUUUCCUGGAGCUGAUUAAUUUUUAGCUUGUGUCAAGAUUCUGGCUAGAUGUUCCUCCUGGGCUCUGGGAGGUAGUUCUGAGGGCACUGACUUCUGAGUGCCACCGCAGGUCGGGGCAGAUGAGAAGGCACAGACCUGCAAGAAGUCACCCCCACUACCUGGAAUCCUGUGUCCCAACUUCUGUGUGCAGAGCCAUGGAAUGGGGAGAGGGAGGAAUCCUUGGGACUCAGGGGACCGUGGGCUCACCUUGAGAGGGCCUCAUCUCCUCCACAAUGCUCUCGGCCGCAGUCUCCUCGGCCCACGUGCCGGCCUCUACCACCUUGUAGCGGCUGCGUGGCUGGCUGAGCACGUGUGGGGCUUGCAGCGCCGCCUCCCGCUCCGCAGCUAGAUCCAGGUCCUGCUGGGCCAGGUGCGCGCGCAGCUGCCGGAUCUCAAACUGCAAGAGGCAGAAGGGUUGAGGGU